rnacentral:rRNA from 1 species
CCUGGCGACUAUAGCGAUUUGGAACCACCUGAUACCAUCUCGAACUCAGAAGUGAAACAUUUCCGCGCCAAUGAUAGUGUGAGG